rnacentral:rRNA from 1 species
UACGAAGGGGGCUAGCGUUGUUCGGAUUUACUGGGCGUAAAGCGCACGUAGGCGGAUCUUUAAGUCAGGGGUGAAAUGCCGGAGCUCAACUUCGGAACUGCCUUUGAUACUGGGGAUCUUGAGUUCGGGAGAGGUGAGUGGAAUUGCGAGUGUAGAGGUGAAAUUCGUAGAUAUUCGCAGGAACACCAGUGGCGAAGGCGGCUCACUGGCCCGAUACUGACGCUGAGGUGCGAAAGCGUGGGGAGCAAACAGG